rnacentral:rRNA from 1 species
UACAGAGGUCUCAAGCGUUGUUCGGAUUCAUUGGGCGUAAAGGGUGCGUAGGCGGCGCGGUAAGUCGGGUGUGAAAUCUCGGAGCUUAACUCCGAAACUGCAUUCGAUACUGCAGUGCUUGAGGACUGGAGAGGAGACUGGAAUUUACGGUGUAGCGGUGAAAUGCGUAGAUAUCGUAAGGAAGACCAGUGGCGAAGGCGGGUCUCUGGACAGUUCCUGACGCUGAGGCACGAAGGUCAGGGGAGCAAACGGG